rnacentral:rRNA from 1 species
UACGUAGGGUGCAAGCGUUAAUCGGAAUUACUGGGCGUAAAGCGUGCGCAGGCGGUUUUGUAAGUCUGUCGUGAAAUCCCCGGGCUCAACCUGGGAAUUGCGAUGGAGACUGCAAGGCUAGAAUCUGGCAGAGGGGGGUAGAAUUCCACGUGUAGCAGUGAAAUGCGUAGAGAUGUGGAGGAAUACCGAUGGCGAAGGCAGCCCCCUGGGAUAACACUGACGCUCAUGCACGAAAGCGUGGGGAGCAAACAGG